rnacentral:sRNA from 1 species
AUUGUAAAAGGUUUAUAUACUCGGCUCUCCCAAAUGUUCUAAACAAUAGUUUGGGUUUCGUUUUUCCCAAUUACCAAACAAAAUUUUAGAUAUAUGUCCAUUUCGGAACGAGACCUUGUCUUUACCGUAUUCGUCUCGGGUUUCUAGUCCCAUAUCCGCUCGUAUAAUUAAUUGUUUUGAGACAAUGUAAUGCAUUGAAUAUAUAUCAACUUUUAUAUAUACUAGGUGAUCAUCCGCACUGCGCUACAGAGUUUUCUAUAUAUUUGUACAUACAAACAAACGUGUUGGUCAUUAUAUGCCAUUGUUUCUUCUAAUAGUUCUCACAAAUGUUUAGGCAUUGGAGGAUAGAAGAACAAACGAAUUAGAGAUA